GUGGGGAAUCUUAGACAAUGGGGGAAACCCUGAUCUAGCCAUGCCGCGUGAGCGAUGAAGGCCUUAGGGUUGUAAAGCUCUUUCAGCUGGGAAGAUAAUGACGGUACCAGCAGAAGAAGCCCCGGCUAACUCCGUGCCAGCAGCCGCGGUAAUACGGAGGGGGCUAGCGUUGUUCGGAAUUACUGGGCGUAAAGCGCGCGUAGGCGGACCAGAAAGUUGGAGGUGAAAUCCCAGGGCUCAACCUUGGAACUGCCUUCAAAACUCCUGGUCUGGAGUUCGAGAGAGGUGAGUGGAAUUCCGAGUGUAGAGGUGAAAUUCGCAGAUAUUCGGAGGAACACCAGUGGCGAAGGCGGCUCACUGGCUCGAUACUGACGCUGAGGCGCGAAAGCGUGGGGAGCAAACAGGAUUAGAUACCCGAGUAGUCC
rnacentral:rRNA from 1 species